AGUGAACGCUGGCGGUAGGCCUAACACAUGCAAGUCGAACGGCAGCACAGGAGAGCUUGCUCUCUAGGUGGCGAGUGGCGGACGGGUGAGGAAUACAUCGGAAUCUGCCCAGUAGUGGGGGAUAACGUAGGGAAACUUACGCUAAUACCGCAUACGACCUUCGGGUGAAAGAGGGGGAUCGCAAGACCUCUCGCGAUUGGAUGAGCCGAUGUCGGAUUAGCUAGUUAGCGGGGUAAUGGCCCACCAAGGCGACGAUCCGUAGCUGGUCUGAGAGGAUGAUCAGCCACACUGGAACUGAGACACGGUCCAGACUCCUACGGGAGGCAGCAGUGGGGAAUAUUGGACAAUGGGCGCAAGCCUGAUCCAGCCAUACCGCGUGGGUGAAGAAGGCCUUCGGGUUGUAAAGCCCUUUUGUUGGGAAAGAAAUCUUUCAGGCUAAUACCCUGGGAGGAUGACGGUACCCAAAGAAUAAGCACCGGCUAACUUCGUG
rnacentral:rRNA from 1 species